rnacentral:tRNA from 1 species
GAUAGGGUGGCUGAUAAAAGUAAUAGACUGUAAAUCUAUAAAUGGGGUUUCCCCCUCCUAUUA